AACAACACCCAAAAUAAAAAAGAACAAACAUAAACGAACAUGAACGAACAAAACAGAUACAGUCGUCCCCGGAGAUAUGGGGACAGGAGAAAAGUGCAUUGCGCCUUUUUUUUUUUUUUUUUUUUCUUGUUUCGAUAAUAAUUCGGGUUAUCAGAAGAAGAUACAAGGGUUGGUAUUUGGU
rnacentral:ribozyme from 1 species